CCUUGUACACACCGCCCGUCACACCAUGGGAGUUGGUUCUACCCGAAGACGGUGCGCUAACCGCAAGGAGGCAGCCGGCCACGGUAAGGUCAGCGACUGGGGUG
rnacentral:rRNA from 1 species